UGGGGAAUAUUGCACAAUGGGCGCAAGCCUGAUGCAGCCAUGCCGCGUGUAUGAAGAAGGCCUUCGGGUUGUAAAGUACUUUCAGCGGGGAGGAAGGGAGUAAAGUUAAUACCUUUGCUCAUUGACGUUACCCGCAGAAGAAGCACCGGCUAACUCCGUGCCAGCAGCCGCGGUAAUACGGAGGGUGCAAGCGUUAAUCGGAAUUACUGGGCGUAAAGCGCACGCAGGCGGUCUGUCAAGUCGGAUGUGAAAUCCCCGGGCUCAACCUGGGAACUGCAUUCGAAACUGGCAGGCUAGAGUCCUGUAGAGGGGGGUAGAAUUCCAGGUGUAGCGGUGAAAUGCGUAGAGAUCUGGAGGAAUACCGGUGGCGAAGGCGGCCCCCUGGACAAAGACUGACGCUCAGGUGCGAAAGCGUGGGGAGCAAACAGG
rnacentral:rRNA from 1 species